GAUCCUGGCUCAGAUUGAACGCUGGCGGCAGGCCUAACACAUGCAAGUCGAGCGAGAAAGGUCUUCGGACUGAGUACAGCGGCGGACGGGUGAGUAAUGCGCAGGAAUCUACCUGGUAGUGGGGGAUAACUCGGGGAAACUCGAACUAAUACCGCAUACGCCCUACGGGGGAAAGCGGGGGACCUUCGGGCCUCGCGCUAUCAGAUGAGCCUGCGUAGGAUUAGCUUGUUGGUGAGGUAAAGGCUCACCAAGGCGACGAUCCUUAGCUGGUCUGAGAGGAUGAUCAGCCACACUGGAACUGAGACACGGUCCAGACUCCUACGGGAGGCAGCAGUGGGGAAUAUUGCGCAAUGGGCGAAAGCCUGACGCAGCCAUGCCGCGUGUGUGAAGAAGGCCCUUGGGUUGUAAAGCACUUUCAAUUGGGAAGAAAGGUUGCGUGUUAAUAGCACGUAGCUGUGACGUUACCUUUAGAAGAAGCACCGGCUAACUCCGUG
rnacentral:rRNA from 1 species